rnacentral:rRNA from 1 species
UAGGGAAUAUUGGACCAUGGGGGAAACCCUGAUCCAGCCAUGCCGCGUGAGUGAUGAAGGCCUUAGGGUUGUAAAGCUCUUUCGGCGGGGAAGAUAAUGACGGUACCCGCAGAAGAAGCCCCGGCUAACUUCGUGCCAGCAGCCGCGGUAAUACGAAGGGGGCUAGCGUUGCUCGGAAUCACUGGGCGUAAAGCGCACGUAGGCGGCCUUCUAAGUCAGGGGUGAAAUCCUGGAGCUCAACUCCAGAACUGCCUUUGAUACUGGAAAGCUUGAGUUCGGGAGAGGUGAGUGGAACUGCGAGUGUAGAGGUGAAAUUCGUAGAUAUUCGCAAGAACACCAGUGGCGAAGGCGGCUCACUGGCCCGAUACUGACGCUGAGGUGCGAAAGCGUGGGGAGCAAACA